CCAAUAACCGGGUCUACCUGCUAUAAAUGUAAAAUUUAAGUGGCCCAAUUACCGUAUACCUUUUUGGUAUAAGGUUCAUUGUGGCCCGAUUCCCGAACGUCUAUUAUUUUAUCUCUUACUUUAUUUUGGAAACACGUGGUCUAUACGUAAAUCUAUUUUAAAUAAUAUAACGUGUGACUAGUUAUAUUUCUCGAUUUCAUAUGAUUGUCAUAGAUUAUAAAGAAUGGGUAGACACCUUCUAUAACAAUCGUUUUUAAAGGUGAUGGUCUUGGACGGGCGGAAAACUGAGGCGAUUUAUCAGUAAUCACAAGAGAUGAAAAGCUACAGGAGAAAAAAAACGUCUCAUUUUAUGAGACAAUCUCGGAACACUGGUA